rnacentral:rRNA from 1 species
UACGGUAGGGUGCAAGCGUUAUCGGGAAUUAGCUGGGCGUAAAGCGUGCGCAGGCGGUUUUGUAAGGUCUAGACUGGUUGAAAUCCCCGGGCUCAACCUGGGAAUUGCAUUGGAGACUGCAAGGCUAGAAUCUGGCAGAGGGGGGUAGAAGUUCCAACGUGUAGCAGUUGGAAAUGCGGUAGAGAAGUGGUGGAGGAACGCCGAUGGGCGAAAGGGCAGCCCCC